GAAACAAACACAUGAAAAAGAGAAUCAGUGACGACUGUUGUACCUGUUGAGGUUGCGGUACCAUCUGAGGAACCAAAACAAGAUCAAGCACCUAAGCAAAACAAAUUUUAGCAAUUAAGGUAGUAUAAUAUACCAUUAUUUUUUCUCUUUUAUAUUACGAGGGUAAAUGUGAUGCAUAAAUUUUCAACUCCAAUAGUUAUUUGGAGAUGGGUAUCUAUUUUCUAGGUAAUAAACCAUCAUCAACUGACUAUAUUAUGACUUUCCAACAUUAUUGUGGUCUGUCCAUUAGUGAUUGGAACAGAGUACAAAAAUAGAGUAGGAAUUGUAUAAAAAGAUUCCAAGUAUUUUUGAACAAUUAUUAGGUUAUCUAAGAACUUUGAAAAAGUGACCUCUAAAAAUUCUGGCAGGAAACUUCAAGUAAAAAUGUUGAAGCAAGAGAUUUUCAUUUCAUUUUGAAGAUAUGGUUCUUUGUUUGAUUGAUAGUUUUUGACAUUGUAGAGCUAUAGAGUAAUUAGUUGCUAGAGGAAUUGUAAAGAUAACUUCAAACUGCUAUUUGGAUGAUUUUAUAGUUAUGGGUAAUACUUUAGUACAACUCUAAGUCUAUUUGUUGUGCUUGAAAGAUCUUAGAUUACUGAUUCUUAUUCAAUUUGUAUGAAAUUUAUAGUUAUGGGUAAUACCUUCGUACAACUUUAAGUUUAGUUUUAAAAAAAAUGAGAUGCAAUUUCUAAAUUUUAUAAAUUACCUAAGUUGCUAAUUUGUCGAUAUUAACUUUUGGUUACAACUUUUAUUUGUAAUUUCCUAGAUGUCCUAUAAAAUAUAAUGUGGCUCUUCAAAGUAUUGACAAAAAAUGAGAUUAGUGAACAAGUCGAAUGAUGGUCAAGCACUUCCUGAUGAGUCUCAUGGCGUAGUAACAUAAUUUUUUUGUGGAUGUUUGUUUGGUGAAGUAAUGUGAUGUUUUCUUCUAAAGUGAUGUAUCCGAUCGAUACAUCACGUAAAACAAGAAUUUUGUAAUUUUUCAAAUGGUAGAAAAAUUUUAAAAAUAUGAUAAAAUAAGUUGUGUAUCUAGAUAAUUUUUAAAAUAUUUUCAUAGUAAAAUAGAAAUUAUACUUGAUCAAAU
rnacentral:lncRNA from 1 species